AUCAUGGAGGUCUGGAUCUGUGGGAAGAAGUUGGCGUCCUGGUCCAUGAGCUGGAGGAGGGGUACAGGAGGGGUCACCAGCUGUGCUCAGCGCCUCUCUCUCCACACAGCGGUCAUAGUGCGCCGCCUGCUGGAAUGUGGGCGGAGCUGUGAGAGAUCCUUCUGUCCUCUCGUCGGCCGCUCACCAAUCCUGACCCAGUGACGUAGACGGCCUCUCCGCCUAGAUUUCCCAGCAGUCUCUUGGGUUCCUCAGCAGGGCGGGCAGAACCUGAAGUGGGUCAGACCGCGUAAGACCAGGUUCUGGACCCGAGUGCAGUUCAGGGCAGCUCCCAGACCUGUGUUUCUGUGUUUCCUGCCCAGAGAGAGGGGCGUUUAAACCCGGUUGUCGGUUCCCUCACGUGGUCCCGGCUCCAGCACCCUGAUAGAGGCCCUCUGCGGGUAGAAGGCCUCAUAUACCCCUCAGGAACAUAGUAUAGUUGUGUUAUUUCGAUAGCACAUAUACUAAAAUUGGAACGAUACAGAGAAGAUUAGCAUGGCCCCUGCGCAAGGAUGACACGCAAAUUCGUGAAGCGUUCCUUAUUUAUUGUUAAAUUAUCAUUUAUUUAUGAUUUGAUGUAUUUUGUUGUUGAUUUCUUCAUAUUUGGGUGAAACAGCGCCACCGUGGCCGCUGUGGUCGCUGCCGGUACUGCAGCAGAGCAGACUGCCUGUGACGUCAAGAGGACAGUCCGCUGGAGCUCUGCUUCUCCUGUCCACAGCAAGCAGACUGUAUAUAUGUUUAUAAAUGCAUCACUAUGCUGGAGAGCAUCGUCCUCACGUUCCGUAUUCCAAUGUUCAAACUUUCUGUUUCCUCCACCAAACCUCGUCUGUUUCCCUGAUGUGUCAUGGUGCAGGCACCCCAUGUGUGUGUAUGUGGAAAUUUCGAGAAAUGUACAACGUUUUUCUACCAAAUUACAAUCAUCUUUUCUUUCUCUCAAAGUAAAUAUGCUAAAGUAAACUUGUAUCAACCAAUUUCAACCAAUGACGCAGUGACCAGGGAGUUGUGAGGAGCCAGUCCUCUGAAACUCCGUGUCACGCAACACCCCUCAACUGUCAAUCUGUAUUGUAACUCUACACAACUCAUAUAUUCAGUUUCACUGGUGAAUACGACUCAGUACAGAAGCUAAGGGCACUCUACCUUCUGCUUCACCUGGACCUCAACGUUACUGGGAUGUCAUGCAAUGGCAGAUAUUUUUUCUUUCACCAUUACAAACAUCUGAAACGGUCCCCAAAUGUUCCUGAAACUUAAACAACGAUGACAUGAAAACGGUGCUAGCUAUCAAAAUGUUCAUUUCCACCAAUGACGCAGUGACCACACACUGCCCACACACACAUCUAUGAAUUUGCACUUAUCACAGAUGGCCUGCAGCUGGAUGGAAUGAAAAAGCUUCUUGUUAAAAUAGCAGGCAGCAUCCUCCGCUGGGGGCUUCACUCAGACGUGGCAGCCAUCAAUAGCCCCCACCACUCUGCUGAAGGCUGCCGACCCAGCUAGACGGGCGAAGCGUCAGGGGAAGGGAAGAUUAUAUGAAUAUGCAAGUCAUUUUAUCAAUAAAAUGUUGUCAUUGAG